UUCCAACGAUGAAAUCGAUGAAUAGUAUGUUAGGGUAUGAAUAUUCAUGAUUAUUAAACCAUACUGUCUUCCUUCUCAGGGU